rnacentral:rRNA from 1 species
UAAUACCAUGGACGGAUGACAUUAGCUGCAGGAAUAAGCACGGCUAACUUCUGUGCCAGCAGCCGCGGUAAUACAGAGGGUGCAAGCGUUAAUCGGAAUUACUGGGCGUAAAGCGAGCGUAGGUGGCUUGAUAAGUCAGAUGUGAAAGCCCCGGGCUUAACCUGGGAACGGCAUCUGAUACUGUUAGGCUAGAGUAGGUGAGAGGAAGGUAGAAUUCCAGGUGUAGCGGUGAAAUGCGUAGAGACCUGGAGGAAUACCGAUGGCGAAGGCAGCCUUCUGGCAUCAUACUGACACUGAGGUUCGAAAGCGUGGGUAGCAAACAGGAUUAGAUACCCUGGUAGUCCACGCCGUAAACGAUGUCUACUAGUCGUUGGGUCCCUUGAGGACUUAGUGACGCAGCUAACGCAAUAAGUAGACCGCCUGGGGAGUACGGCCGCAAGGUUAAAACUCAAAUGAAUUGACGGGGGCCCGCACAAGCGGUGGAGCAUGUGGUUUAAUUCGAUGCAACGCGAAGAACCUUACCUGGUCUUGACAUAUCUAGAAUCCUGCAGAGAUGCGGGAGUGCCUUCGGGAAUUAGAAUACAGGUGCUGCAUGGCUGUCGUCAGCUCGUGUCGUGAGAUGUUGGGUUAAGUCCCGCAACGAGCGCAACCCUUGUCCUUAGUUACCAGCGGUUUGGCCGGGAACUCUAAGGAUACUGCCAGUGACAAACUGGAGGAAGGCGGGGACGACGUCAAGUCAUCAUGGCCCUUACGACCAGGGCUACACACGUGCUACAAUGGUAGGUACAGAGGGCAGCUACACAGCGAUGUGAUGCGAAUCUCAAAAAGCCUAUCGUAGUCCAGAUUGGAGUCUGCAACUCGACUCCAUGAAGUAGGAAUCGCUAGUAAUCGCGGAUCAGAAUGCCGCGGUGAAUACGUUCCCGGGCCUUGUACACACCGCCCGUCACACCAUGGGAGUUGAUUGCACCAGAAGUGGAUAGCCUAACCUUUUAGGAAGGCGAUCACCACGGUGUGGUUGAUGACUGGGGUGAAGUCGUAACAAGGUAACC